AAAAGGGCAGUUGAUGAACGACUCUUCAGGGCCUUCGGACUGCAGGCCUUCUCUCCUAGGGGUCUUUUCCCACCCCCACACUCAGGAGCGUGUACAGAUGUUCCCUCUUCCUCCAAGAAAGUGUACCUGAAAUAUGCCAUACGUGUGCCCAGGAGCCACAGCCACAAGCAGGGACAUCUCAACCUCAGGACCUCUGCAUGGCAUCAUCAAGGAGCCAGAGACCCAGAAAGCCUGGAUGCCAAAGGUCACGUGGAGAUGGGUAAACUGAGGCUGAGAGUGGGGCAGGG
rnacentral:lncRNA from 1 species